rnacentral:rRNA from 1 species
UUUUUUGUUUUAGGGCGCAUGGUGGAUGCCUGGGUAUGCUAAGCCGAUGAAGGACGUGAUAGGCUGCGUUAAGCCUCGGGGAGUUGCCUGAUGAGCGUUGAUCCGAGGGUGUCCGAAUGGGGAAACCCGGCCAUGGUUAUGUGUGGUCACCCGCCAGUGAAGAAGAUAGUUGGUUGGGGGGUUACGCGGGGAAGUGAAACAUCUUAGUACCCGUAGGAGGAGAAAACAAGAGUGAUUCUGCUAGUAGUGGCGAGCGAACGUGGAUAAGGCUAAACCGUGUGCGUGUGAUACCGGGUAGGGGUUACGCAUGCGGGGUUAGAGGAGCACGGCGUAUCAGUUCUACCUCGGCUGGUGCUGUUGUUGGUGUGUGUUAGUGGAAGUGGUGUGGAAUCGCCUGCCAGAGACGGUGAGAGUCCGGUACACGAAAACACAUGCUUGCGUGGUUGUUGUGUUUCCUGAGUAGCGGCGGGCUCGUGGAAUCUGUCGUGAAUUUGCCGGGACCACCCGGUAAGCCUAAAUACUUAGCAUGACCGAUAGUGGAUCAAGUACCGUGAGGGAAUGGUGAAAAGUACCCCGGGAGGGGAGUGAAAGAGUACCUGAAACCGUGUGCUGAUAAUCCGUCAUAGCCCCCCCUGUUGUGGUGGGGUGGUGGCGUGCCUUUUGAAGAAUGAGCCUGCGAGUCAGUGGCAUGUUGCGUGGUUAACCAUGAGUGUGGGGAGCCGUAGCGAAAGCGAAUCCUAAUCUAGGGUGUGUGUGGCAUGUUCUGGACCCGAAGCGGGGUGAUCUACCCAUGGCCAGUGUGAAGCAGAGGUAAGACUUUGUGGAGGCGCGAACCCACUUAGGUUGAAAACUGAGGGGAUGAGUUGUGGGUAGGGGUGAAAGGCCAAUCAAACUCCGUGAUAGCUGGUUCUCCCCGAAAUGCAUUUAGGUGCAGCGUCGCAUAGUGUGCUUGUUGGAGGUAGAGCUACUGGUUGGUUGAGCGGGACGAUAAUCUUAGCAACAUCAGCUAAACUCCGAAUGCCAGCAAUGUGGGUGCGGCAGUGAGACUGCGGGGGAUAAGCUCCGUUGGUCGAGAGGGAAACAGCCCAGAUCGUCGGUUAAGGCCCCUAAGGGUGUGCUCAGUGGGAAAGGAUGUGGGAUCGCGAAGACAGCCAGGAGGUUGGCUUAGAAGCAGCCAUCCUUGAAAGAGUGCGUAAUAGCUCACUGGUCAAGUGAUCGUGCGCCGACAAUGUAGCGGGGCUCAAGCACACCGCCGAAGCCGCGGACCCACAGCGUUUGUUCCCUUCAUCGUCCCACGUUGCUGGGGUGGUGGCAGGGGCUGUGGGUGGUAGGGGAGCGUCCUGCACCGGGGGAAGCCUGUGGGUGACUGCUGGUGGACGGUGCGGGAGUGAGAAUGCAGGCAUGAGUAGCGAUACUAGGGUGAGAAGCCCUAGCGCCGAAUGACCAAGGGUUCCAGGGCCAGGCUAGUCCGCCCUGGGUGAGUCGGGACCUAAGGCGAGGCCGACAGGCGUAGUCGAUGGAUGACGGGUUGAUAUUCCCGUACCCGUGUGCGUGCGACAAGUGAUGAAUCUUAUGGUACUAACCACCCGCCUGUUUCCGCCGGUCUUUUUGGUUGGUGGUUUCAGGUGCGUGGGAUCUUCGUGGGUAGUAGUCAAGUGAUGGGGUGACGCAGAGUGGUAGCUAGGCUUCCUUAUUGGAUUGGAGUGCAAGCGUGUGGCCUGUGGGGUUGGGAAAUCCGCCCCGCAUAUGAGGUGAGGCGUGAUGCGGACACCAUGUUGUGGUGGUAGUUAGUGUGCCUGUGCUGUCUAGAAAAGCCUCUAGCGAGUGCGUGCAUGGCCCGUACCGGAAACCGACACAGGUGGUCAGGUAGAGAAUACUAAGGCGUUCGGGUGAACUGUGGUUAAGGAACUCGGCAAAAUGCCCCCGUAACUUCGGGAGAAGGGGGACCAUUACUGGUUGCUGACAGCAUUAUUGGCUGGUGGUGGUCGCAGAGGAGAGAGGGAAGCGACUGUUUAUUAAAAACACAGGUCCGUGCGAAAACGUGGAAGUUGAGGUAUACGGACUGACGCCUGCCCGGUGCUGGAAGGUUAAGAGGACCCGUGAGCACGCCUAGUGUGUGCGAGGCGGAGAAUUGAAGCCCCAGUAAACGGCGGUGGUAACUAUAACCAUCCUAAGGUAGCGAAAUUCCUUGUCGGGUAAGUUCCGACCUGCACGAAUGGCGUAACGACUUCCCUGCUGUCUCAACCACAGGCCCGGUGAAAUUGCAGUACGAGUAAAGAUGCUCGUUUCGCGCGGCAGGACGAAAAGACCCCGGGACCUUUACUAUAGCUUGGUAUUGGUGUUUGGUCAUGCUUGUGUAGGAUAGGUGGGAGACUGUGAAACCGCAACGCUAGUUGUGGUGGAGUCGCAGGUGAAAUACCACUCUGGUGUGAUUGGGUACCUGAACCUUGGCCCGUGAUCCGGGUUGGGGACAGUGCCUGGUGGGUAGUUUAACUGGGGCGGUUGCCUCCUAAAUGGUAACGGAGGCGCCCAAAGGUUUCCUCAGUCUGGUUGGCAAUCAGAUGGUGAGUGUAAGUGUAUAAGGGAGCUUGACUGUGACACUGACGGGUGGAGCAGGUGCGAAAGCAGGGACUAGUGAUCCGGCAUCUACGUGUGGUUGUGGUGUCGCUCAACGGAUAAAAGGUACCCCGGGGAUAACAGGCUGAUCUUCCCCAAGAGUUCAUAUCGACGGGAUGGUUUGGCACCUCGAUGUCGGCUCGUCGCAUCCUGGGGCUGGAGUAGGUCCCAAGGGUUGGGCUGUUCGCCCAUUAAAGCGGCACGCGAGCUGGGUUUAGAACGUCGUGAGACAGUUCGGUCUCUAUCCGCCGCGCGCGUGGAAACUUGAACAAGGCUGUCCCUAGUACGAGAGGACCGGGAUGGACGUACCUCUAGUGUGCCAGUUGUCACGCCGGUGGCAUGGCUGGUUGGCUAUGUGCGGGAGGGAUAACCGCUGAAAGCAUCUAAGCGGGAAGCCUGUUGUGAGAUGAGGUUUCUGUUGAGGUUCCCUGAAGAUGAGGGGGUUGAUAGGUCGGAGUUGGAAGCAUCGCAAGGUGUUGUGAGAUGACCGAUACUAAUAUGACCGACACAAACUAUC